rnacentral:misc_RNA from 1 species
CUAAACUUGGUUGUGGUUUAACUUACAGUAUAUAGUGUAGUAAGUCUAGUGGUCGAUGUUUACAUGUAUAUCACAUUUGGAGCAUAAGUAUUAUGUUACAAAUUUGUUGAUUUGUGCAAAUAGUAGUACAGUAUUCCACGUGAUGCUAUCAUGACAUCAGAGAGCGAUUCUGAUGAGUUUUAUGAUGCAGAAGAUGCAGAACUGUCGCACGCAGGUCCAGGGAUCGGGUCAAGCCCGCCCAGGAAGGCCAAAAAGCCACCGGCAAUCUCCGAGUUUGAAGAGGAGCUGCACCGACUGGCAACCGAGCGACGCUUGGCCGAGGAGCGGAGAAGGCAGGAAGAGGAGGCCCUCCAGAGGAAGAUAGAGGAGGUCCAAGCCAAGAAGCGAGAAGAAGAGGAGAGAGAACGACAGCGUCUCUUGGAAGAGCAAAGGAAACGAGAGAAGCAGAGGAAGGAAGAGGAGCGACGAAAACAGGAGGAGGAAGAGCGAUUACUAGAACAGCAGGAGGCUGAACAACGGAGGAUUGAGGCUGAGAAACGCCGCAAACGCCUGGAGGAGAUGCGUCUCCGGGAAGACCGUGCUGGGCACAGCAGCAGGCUGGCGUCAUCCGGCGACCAAGACCCGGCCAGAGAAGCCUCAGAACCUUCUUCCCAGGGCGUAGCGGAGGAAAUCCUGGGCCGACAGACUGACACGCCCCAGGAUGACGCCGUUCCCCGGGAGCCCGGCUUGGCCAAUCGGAACGUCCAGCCCGAUGUCAUUGCCAGCAUUCGGGAGAGGCCCUCGGCGCUACCCCUGGGGGUAGACUCCCAGGGUGAUAUGCCGCCCCAGCCUGUUGCCCCACCGCGGAAGAAGAAGAAACCGAAGUCGUCGGAAACCCCAACUCCGGAAAUCAAAAAUCUGCAGUCCAGGAAAGAAACCGCGGAGACUCCAGCGAGCCAGGGGGAGGAGGUGUCGGUAGGCCUUCCACCUGAGCCGGGCUCAUCGGGCAGGCCUCUGAGCGGUCUCCUCACCCCUACUACCACCAUCGAGUCACUGACCAAAGAGCUGGAGCAUUCUCUGGACCUGGCCAGUGCCACCAGCGAUGCUGUGGUCCUGCAUCAGGAGACCCAGAGCAUCAAGGGUGAGUCCCGCGCCGAGGUCUUGGAAGCCCUGAAGAACCCUGUCCCCUCUGGGCCCCCACCCCCCAAGCCCCCGCGGAGCCAGGGCGGGUCGCCGGCCACCUCCGAGGGCAAGGGCAGCAGAGGGGGGACGCCGGAGAUGGACACACUGUCCCAGUAUCACAACCUGAUGAAGGGCCGCUCGGCGAAAGGGGAACAGCUCACCGACGAGGAAGUACUGUCUCAGGUCACGGUUAGGAAUCUGGACACGGGAGACACUGUCCCUCUCCUGCUGGCCGAGGAAAGACUGCCGAAGUGCAUCAAUCCGUUGGCCUUGCACAUAAUGAGACUGACGUCCGAGUAUGUCAGCAAUACAAGCCUGGACAAGGAGGGCGGAAGUGACGGAGAGAAGGCCAAAGCAGCCACGCAGGGGGUCAAGAAAUCCAAAUCCAAGAAAAUCAAGUUCAAGAAAAUCCUGACCAAGAUCAAGAAUGUCGCAGACGAGGCCUUCAGGCAUGAGGAGCAGGAAUCCAGUGAUGAGGAGUCGCUUCCAGAUUCGAGGAUUGUGAAGUUCAAAGCGUCUGGCAGCAACAAGGGUCCCUACGACUUUGACCAGCUGAGGUUGGCCCAGGAUCUGGGCCGAGAGCAUGCUGGGGCAGUGUGGACCAUGAAAUUCUCCCCCUGUGGGCGAUUACUGGCAACGGCCGGUCAGGACAGGAUCCUGCGUGUCUGGGUCCUUCAAGACCACUAUAAGUACUUUGACGACAUGAGGCAGCGCUACAGCAACGAGGCCAGAGAGCAGGCACAAGAGGGCAGCAGCUCAGAGAAGGAUUCAUCUUCUGACCCAGAGAGAGAGCGGUCUGGAUCGGAGGACGCUGCCGAGGAGCCAAGAGAUGCCAAGAAGGAGGACACCCCACCUGAGGGGGAGGAGCAGCCGGACAUGCCCAUCCGGGAGAGUGCCCUCGACGAUGAGCUGGCCAUCUUUGCCCGGACACCGUUCUUUGAGUACUCGGGACAUACGGCCGAUGUGCUGGACGUCUCCUGGUCCAAGAACUAUUUCAUUCUGUCCUCUUCCAUGGAUAAGACGGUGAGGCUGUGGCACAUCUCCCGCAGCGAGUGUCUCUGCUGCUUCCAACACAUCGACUUUGUCACUGCCAUCGCCUUCCACCCACGGGACGAUCGUUACUUCUUGAGUGGCUCCCUGGACGGCAAGCUACGAUUGUGGAACAUUCCAGACAAGAAGGUGGCGCUGUGGAAUGAGGUGGACGGCCCAACAAAGCUGAUCACCGCCGCCAACUUCAUCCAGAACGGCCGCUUCUCCGUGGUGGGUACCUACGACGGGAGAUGCAUCUUCUACGACACCGAGCAUUUGAAGUACUACAGUCAGAUUCACGUGCGAUCCACCAGAGGGCGUAACGCCAUAGGAAGGAAGAUCACCGCCAUUGAACCCCUUCCUGGUCAGGAUAAGAUUCUUGUAACUUCUAAUGACUCUCGCCUGAGGCUGUAUGACCUCCGUGACCUCUCGCUGACCUGCAAGUACAAAGGAUGCAUGAACAUCAGCAGUCAGAUCAGAGCCUCGUUCAGCCACAAUUACCGCUACAUCAUUUGUGGUUCCGAAGAUCACUGCAUCUACAUCUGGAAGACCAACUACGACUUUGCCAAGUUCACCUCGGUGCGCAAAGACCGCAACGACUUUUGGGAAUCCAUCAAAGCUCACGACGUCGUCGUCACCACGGCUGUCUUCUCCCCCCAGCCCUCGUUGGUCGUCAAGCCCACCGACUCCGACGGCAAGCCACUUGCCUCCGACGCAGCCGUCCCAGCCCCCAUCCCCGGCGGCCUCCCGUCCGCUGAGGCCCCGGAGAGCCCUGCCACCCGUGCCAAGCGGGAGAUGAUCCAGGGAAAGAGUGUAGCGGAAGGGGGGAGCAAGGCAGAGAAGAAGAGCUCCCUCAAGAGGCUGCUAGACCAGGGCGAACUGCUGGUCUCUGGUGAUUUCAACGGUGCCAUAAAGGUGUUCAUUAAACGGCCCAAGCUUUAACUGCUCGCCAGUCCCACCCCCCCAGUCAUGCUAAUUAGCAUCAACAAGUGUUGACAGACACGAUCAGCCUCAACAAGGCACCCACAGCUGGAAAUUCACUCUAAAGCCUCAAAAGAAGUAUCGUCAAAUUUACAUGCAGAAGGCUGUCACAUCUUAGGAAGUUGGCAAAUCCACAACGAUACUGCAGGAAAACAAAACUGGUCCAGGAAGGGUGGACCAUUUCUCCAUCGGCUAAGCGUAGACGAGAUGGCUGCCAAUCGGGCUGCAUGAACGGCACUGUUGUACUUUUUUGUACUUUGUCGCUCCAAAUGCCACACUUAAAAUCAUGUAAAAUAAAUUCCAUGCACGUAUUAAUAAUGAUAUUUAAUCGGUAUUUUCAAUUCAUGAUUUACGCAUGAAAAUAUUGGUUGAGGCUAAAUAGCAUGGCUGUCUUGUAGAACAUUCCGUUCAAAAAGAGGAAUUUGUUUCUCUCUUGGAGGAAACUGAAGCAGCAUUAAUCCUAAUGACAGGUAAGUUUUGAGAAUUACACUGCGAUACGACUUGAGAUUGGUUAGGGUGGAAAUGCACGUCAGCCGCGGCUUAUUCAUGAAAGCUCGGAACGUCUCGCUGGCAAUCUAAAAUCCUUACUUUUGGGAAACAGUUUCUAUCAAUUUGCGUCAAUUUGACUUUUAUGUCAGUUUUAUCGUUUAUCUAAAGACAGUACGUUUGAUAACACUUGACAAAUUAGAUUUAAAGGAAACUUAUAUUUGAUCUGAUAACAUAUAUGAUGUACUUGUAUAUAAAAAUGGAGGGCUGUCUGGAGAAGCUGUACAUUUAGAAAUCAGCAGCCCUGAGUCUCCAAAGUUGUCGCACCUUGUUUAACUUCUUUACUACAACAAAUAUUUUAAAUGGUUUAAAAAAAAAGCUUGUGAAUCCUUGUACUAAAAGACAGUGUCUAUGUGCUUUAUUGGUCGACGUUAAUUUUCAUAGGAGCAGUCUAUACCUUUAAUAUUUCCGAUCCAAAUAGACUUCCCUCCACAUCAGUCGCAGUUUUGCUGGCUAUUAAUGAAUUUCUGAAAACCCUAGCCACACAUGCAGGUUAUGCGAGGUGUGAAACUUGAAUUGUCAUUAUAAAUUCAGUUAAACAAGCUGUACUUGCAAUCAGGCACAUAUCUGAAGAAAGGUUUCAAAUGAGUGUGGCUACGUUUUCUUGAAUGGAAUCCUGCUGAAAUGUGCCUAGUUUCAGAGAGUUGCUCUCUAGAAAGAAUGCUGAGAAUAUUUGUGCGCUCGGCAAAAAUCAUGCGGGAACCAGUUAUAAGAAAUGUGGAUUGUACGAAAUUUCUUUCGGCUGGUAGCCUGUCUUUGCUAAGUAGUUAGAAAUGACAUUUUGGCUGGUAGCCCGCCUUUGUUAAGGAACUGGAUAGAACAUUCUGGCAGGUAGCCUGUCUUUGCUAAGCAACCAUGAAAUUUUUGCUGGUAGCCUGUCUGUGUUAGUCUUCCUUUGCUAAGCAGAUUGUUUUGGGCUCAGUAAAUUGGGCAACAACUAUCCCCUUGGAAAAGCAGAACAUGUAUAAAUGUGGAUUGCAAGGAUAUUUUAUGGAGUGCCAGACCAAACCAGUCACCAACUUGGUGCAAAGCCCAAGAGUGAGCAGGCUAUUGUCAUUAAGGUGUCAGUUGUCACAGUGACGCUGACACAAUUCUUGUGUCAAAGCCUUGAAGGUCCCUUUUUGUCAAAAUCCCAGUCCAUUAUUAAUGCUGAACCCAACAAGGUUAUGCAGGAUUUCAAUGGUCCCUAGAGGGUUAGGGUUAAAGUGAACUUUGAUAUCAUUUUCAACUUGAACAUAAAAAACUGACGUACUAGCAAAACAAUGGAGAUACAUGUAGAUUUGUAAGUGGAAAAUCAGAUUUGGGGUUACAGUUGAUGAAUAUUUGGCAUUUGAAAAAAAUUCAAGCAUUAGGCAUAGCAUUUGUUGACUCUGCAUACGGCCAACUUUUUUUAUUAUGACAUGUAGUUGGAUUUUGAAUGCCAAGUCUGAAUAUAUAUAUUAAACAAAUGAAAAAAUUAAUAUUUUCCCCCUGCAGGAUUUUUUGUAGUGUUUUCAAAAAAGUUGAAUUUUUGAAUAUUUAAGUUUUUUGUCUUGAUGCAGUGCUUUUAGUUAGCCGAAAAACUAAAUGUAAUAGCAAAAGAGAACCGGUCCAUUAUUUUAUUUGAAUUUUUCCCACCCUCUGACCCUGGAAAAUUUCAUGCCAGGUUUGUAAUCCAAUGUAAUGCUGGCCUAAUACAUGUGUACAGGUACGUGAUCUUUAAAUUGGUAGGUUUAUUUGAAUGGUUUUCAUGGUUUAAAUGUAACCAUACUGCUGUGAGUAUCCGCAUAAUUAAGUUUGUCUAAUCCUUUUCAAAAAGAGAGAAUUCUUCCAUAUUUAUCUGACUCCCUGGUGCGGAACGUAGGUUUUUCAUUUUAAAUUUCCAGUCGAUUUUUUAGAAGGUGCUUUAAAGAUUAAUUUCUCAGCUGUGCUGUUGGUAAUUUCUAUAUGAUGAUGAAGAAAACAUACAGGUGUUAAAAAUGUAGAUAAUUUGGCGGUAAUCCGAGUGAUCAAAAAGAGAUGUAAAUAUUUUCAGUAUUAAAAAGAACGAUUCAUGGAAAAGAACGUUUUGAUGUGGUUUUUAUCUCGUUUUAUUUGUGGAUCAUGAUACAACAGGUGUAAUUGCAACCCUGAAAAUUUCACGAACUCUUGAAAGGGCAAGAACUUCUGAUGAAGUCUUGAAAAACAGUACAACAGCUUGUUAGCCUCAUUUAACCCUACAAGUACUUCACUCAAAUCUGAACUGCAACCCCUGAAACGUGUUUACGAGAAACCUUCCUGAAUCCCACGAAAUUCUCUACUUUGACGACAAAUUAGCAAAUAGGGGUAUUUGUAUUUAUUGGGGGGAGGGAGCACUUUGCACUGUGAAGGGGCAUUAAGCAUCCCCUUG